UUCCCAUUUCUUUCAUAAUCAAAAUACACGGAUAUAAUAAAUAAAUGCCUGGCUCCAUCCUGUCUGCCUUCUAACCACCUAAUGAGAAGAAAAAAAUGAGAGAUUUUCACGUAGAGACAGACAUCUACGACCUACGUUGUCCUCCACCCAAAUAUGACCUUGUAUUUAGAAAUGAAAAUAGUACCUCUUUCUUGACAAACAAAAGGGCAGAUUCGUCAUUCCAUAUCGCCAUCUUCCUCGUCGAGAAAAACGAUCGAGUCCCCAUUUCAGCUCACAGUGCCCUUUGCGCAAUAUAAUGCCCCCUUUAAAUUAAGCUUUUUUGGACAAGUUGACUCGAUACAUAUAGUUACGAACAAGACAGAUAUUCUAAAAGUGAUGAAAUAAAAUUCAAAGAAGAGAAGAAAAUUGGAGAUGAUAAAGAGAGAGGUCUUUUUCAGCUUUCUGCAUUAUUCACCACUAUUACUCCUACUAAAGGUCUAGAGAGAGCAGAGUGUUUGUUUGAAUGGUUUUGCAGAAGAAAUGUGAAAAGGACCAUUGCCAGAGGGUUAAGGGGUGGGGUAUUGGGAUCUGAGAAUUUGGAAGAUUAUGUGUUUUGGCCUUUGGAAUUUUGGUAGGCCGGUGAAAGGCCAUUUUCAACUUUCUCUUUCUUCCUUCUUCUAGCAGUAAGUGUUUGGCAUUUGUAUUCUGCCUUUACCUUUUCCCCUUUUAAUUCAUCAAUCGAUGGGUUUUUAUACUCCCUAUGUUUCUGAACCUAUUUUAUUUUUAGCUUAAAAUUAUAAUUUUGCUAUUAA
rnacentral:lncRNA from 1 species